rnacentral:rRNA from 1 species
UACAGAGGUCUCAAGCGUUGUUCGGAUUCAUUGGGCGUAAAGGGUGCGUAGGCGGCGCGGUAAGUCGGGUGUGAAAUCUUGGAGCUUAACUCCGAAACUGCAUUCGAUACUGCCGUGCUUGAGGACUGGAGAGGAGACUGGAAUUUACGGUGUAGCGGUGAAAUGCGUAGAUAUCGUAAGGAAGGCCCGGGGGGAAGGCGGGUCUCUGGGCAGUUCCUGACGCUGAAGCACGGAGGGCAGGGGAGCAAACGGG